AACCCUUUGUUGUCCGACUCUGUUGCCUCCGGGGCGACCCUGCCUUCGGGCGGGGGCUCCGGGUGGACACUUCAAACUCUUGCGUAACUUUGCAGUCUGAGUAAACUUAAUUAAUAAAUUAAAACUUUUAACAACGGAUCUCUUGGUUCUGGCAUCGAUGAAGAACGCAGCGAAAUGCGAUAAGUAAUGUGAAUUGCAGAAUUCAGUGAAUCAUCGAAUCUUUGAACGCACAUUGCGCCCCCUGGUAUUCCGGGGGGCAUGCCUGUUCGAGCGUCAUUUCACCACUCAAGCCUCGCUUGGUAUUGGGCAACGCGGUCCGCCGCGUGCCUCAAAUCGACCGGCUGGGUCUUCUGUCCCCUAAGCGUUGUGGAAACUAUUCGCUAAAGGGUGUUCGGGAGGCUACGCCGUAAAACAACCCAAUUUCUAAGGUUGACCUCGGAUCAGGUAGGGAUACCCGCUGAACUUAAGCAUAUCAAUAAGCGGAGGA
rnacentral:rRNA from 1 species